UUGACACCGUAAUGAGAAUCGUUAUGAUUAUCACAACUGGUCGCGAGACUGGUUGGAUAACCUGAAAGUCCCUGGUUCGGACGCUCAGAUUAUCUCCUCAUCAGGCUAAUCACGGUUAUUGACCCGGCUCUUUUGCCGGGUCUUUUUUUG
rnacentral:sRNA from 1 species